rnacentral:rRNA from 1 species
CCCUACGGGGCGCAGCAGGAUAUGGCUCGUUUGAUUGGGACAAUGCUUCGUGGAUUCAAGGAAACAAUGCACCAUUUGGUAAUGGAGGGAAACCUACUUACUGGCCUGCAGACAAUGACUUGGCCCUAUCAAAGACCAUAACAAUCAAUGGCUUGGUAACGGGGAAUGCAACUCUUAAUGUCGGGGUCGACAAUGGUGUUAGCGUUUUUGUAAAUGGACAACAAGUAGCAAAGGAGAAUGCGGAAGGUGGCGGCUGGUAUUGGGAGUACACUUACAACAUAAGUUCAACCUAUUUUAAUAAUGGGCAAAAGGUCAUCCGUGCCUUGGCAGAAGAGCACGGCGGGGGGGC